CAGUCGCCACGGUAAUACGAAGGGGGCUAGCGUUGCUCGGAAUGACUGGGCGUAAAGAGCGCGUAGGCGGAUGGCACAGUCAGAUGUGAAAUUCCCGGGCUUAACCUGGGGGCUGCAUUUGAUACGUGUUGUCUAGAGUGAGGAAGAGGGUCGUGGAAUUCCUAGUGUAGAGGUGAAAUUCGUAGAUAUUGGGAAGAACACCGGUGGCGAAGGCGGCGACCUGGUCCUUUACUGACGCUGAGGCGCGAAAGCGUGAGGAGCAAACAGGAUUAGAUACCCCCGUAGUCCCUGUCUCUUAUAC
rnacentral:rRNA from 1 species